UACGUAGGGCGCAAGCGUUGUCCGGAAUUAUUGGGCGUAAAGAGCUCGUAGGCGGUCUGUUGCGUCUGCCGUGAAAACCCGAGGCUUAACCUCGUGGCUUGCGGUGGAUACGGGCAGACUAGAGGUAGGUAGGGGAGAUUGGAAUUCCCGGUGUAGCGGUGAAAUGCGCAGAUAUCGGGAGGAACACCGGUGGCGAAGGCGGUUCUCUGGGCCUUACCUGACGCUGAGGAGCGAAAGCGUGGGGAGCGAACAGG
rnacentral:rRNA from 1 species